AUUAACCGAAGCACUCGGCGUUUACAGCUGAUUGUUAUUAUCAAUGUACUUCCGGUUACAAGUGCAGAGAUGCGUCUUGGAUGUUCAUUCUUAAUAGACACAUAUUUGGACAGAUACUAGGAUAGGAUACAGUUCAUUUGCUGCUGCUCGAAGUCUAGCCCAGAAGUUUUUUUGCCCAGAAAAAUGGGGAGUCAACACGUGGCACAUGCCACUCAGGGAGCAUUGGCAAUGUUAGGUCUUGUUGAAUGUGUUCAGUGCUUAUGAAGAGACAACAGGAAGUGUGUUCACAGCUGGGUCAGACUGAUGGAGAAGAACCCAGAUUUUGUCUUUACAUGUUCACAAUUCUGGCUGCCGGACACAUUUGUCUACUCAGCACAGCUGCCUCAAAUCACAAAGGAUGUAGGAUCUUGUUUUCUUGUGAACACAUUUCCGAGUUCAGAGGUCAAGCCCCAUUCUCUCUGCUGGAAUCGGACUUAACCCUCCUGUGUACUCGGGUUGGGGAGCUCUUUCUUGAGCUACAAACACUACACAAGCAAAGGUGUGGGGACACAAAUUGGCUGUGGUGUGGCUCUAAUUAAUGACUCAAAAUAUGGCUACACGAUCCAUGAAAACAUCAUGACCAUCUCUCUAUUGCGGGCUGCACAAACAGAUUGGUACAUCUUGAAUUUUUUAAUUAUUUUAAAUCAUUUUCAGACAACCAUAUAUAAAAGCAAUGCAUUUGUUAAGGCCCCUUCCAGGAUGCUUUAGUUAUCCAGUAUGCCUACAACCUGAACUUCCCACUCCAUGUCUUUCAUGGCGUCAUUUCUGAACCCUGGAGUGUGUUCUCUGUAAAUUCCCCUCAUGUAACCUGGAGACCAUAAAACAUGUACCCAUUCAUUAAAAAUGUCAGAUUUUGCACACUGUGUCUAGCACAAAGUCUGUUUCCUUUUUCCCCAUGCUAGAGACAAUGCCCUUCUUGUUCGCUUCAUGGAAGCAGCGUGACUAUGACUUUGUCACCUUCCCUUCUAAUGCAUAAAGAAUGACAAUGAGUUAUCAAUCAGCACCAGUGUACUCUUGUUGAACUGUUAAGAACACUAUUCUCAUAGCCAACUGUCUUUAGAGUUGUGAUCUCCUGGAGCUUCUAGUUCCAUUAUUUCAUUAUUAAAGACCACCUCUGGAAUGUCCUUAACAUUCAAACCCUUUCAGAUCAGAUCUCUCCUCUUAAUUAUACAGUGAUUUAUUCAAUUGCAUAUCGAUUAUGAUGCGGGUACCUAAGUAGCUGCUUUCACUUUGGAAAAUUGUGGUUUAUGAUAUUCAUACAAGUUUUCACUUUUAAACUGUUUCGUUGAAGUUUUUUCAUACAAACUUUUUUUUUUGUAAAAAUUACAAAUA